CGCUUCUGCAGCCCCUGCACCACGUCCUCAUACUUGUCCAGCACCUUCUCCUGGUCCUGGAGAGAACGGGGUCAGGGGCCCAGGUGUGACACUUCUGGAACAGGCAAGUCCAUAGAGACAGCAAGAAGACCAAAGCUGACAACCAUCUGGGCCGUUUCCACCUUUGGGCCAUCGUGAGAAUCACGCUGCUAUGAACGUUCGGGAACAAGCUUUUGUGUUCCCCAGGGUACCUGGACACCUACCGGAGUCAUGGACCAGCAAUGCAGGUGCUGUUGAUGUUGGGGGCAUUGGGGGCAGAAAUGGCAGCAGCCAACAUGCUGGGGAUCCAUCCGUCUAGGUUCCACACCUUGCUUAAGGGCCAGCUUUGUGGCAGACCUGGAUACACCGGAGCUGGGGGAUCUUGAGGGAACAGGACCCAAGCCAUACCUUCUGCAAGGUCAACUGGGGGCAGCCUGUCCCAAAGUGGGGUCCCAGGAACCCAACUCUUACAAGUCUUAUUCUUCCUUGGUCAAGGCACUUAGGAAAACCCCAUCCUUGAUAUGUUCAUGAGCCAGCAAAGGCACUGACAAGUCCUGCAGUGGAGAAAGCCAGUGUUUGGCGGGGUGGCCAGGAAGGCUUAGCAGUGGGGGGCUUUGGAUGGAGGAUCUCGGUAAGAAGGGAUAAGGUGGGCUUCUAGAACAGCCAGGUCAGGGGUCCACCCGACUCCUCCCUCAUUCCCUAACCCCCCACUUCCUGGUUGGGCAGGCCACAUGGAGAAUGUGAGUUUCUGGGCCCCCACACUCCCACCCCAGUCACUGACCAUCUGCCAGGCCAGCUGCACCUAGAGGCGGUGAGUCUCACCCCAAAUAUUUAACCCCUGACUCUGCAGUGCAUCGUUAGGGUCUGUACUGUGGCUCAAGUGGGGGCCUUUGUCUCUCUUGGGCCCAGUCCCACCUCAGGCACAGGGCCAGCUCCCAAACCAGCCCUUUCAUGGAUUGUGGCAGAUGCAAGAAAAGCCACCUUCUGGACUCUAUCCUGGCUGGGCCUGUUGUUCCAGCCGAAGCCCCCCAGAGGACAUGGGAGUUGUGGGGCAAUGACCACUGCCUCAGGGACCUUGGACUCCUGAUGGGACAAAGCUGUGAGCGGUAGCAGGAAGCUAUGAGCAGACAGGCCAGGCCCAAGGCCCACUGGGCUGCUUGCUGCUUAGACAGCCUCAGGCAAGUGCCCUACCCUCGUACAGCCUCCGCUUCUCCAUCUGUCCUCUGGCGAUGACCACAAAGGCAUCCUGGGCAUUUGCCACUUGCUGUGGGCUUUGCCAGACCUCAGACAUAUUCACAGGCACCAGCUCAAUAUCAUCCUUGCCCUAAGUCCCCGGGGAGGUUGGUGUGCCCCUUUGAAGAAGGGGAUGAAGAAACCAAGACUCUGAGACAUCAAAGCACUUGCUCAGGGUCACACAGCUGGUGAACCGCGAUUCUCCCCGCAAGCAAUCUCACUCCAGAGGCAUGUGAUCGACUGGGCUAGAAGUUACUCAUGGGGAUGCUAGGAAAAUCACACCAAUAACAAUCUCCACCAUCGUAAUAUGAGCUAAUACUUACUCUCUACGUGCCAGGCUCCUCACUGUUUCUGACUCAAUCUUCAUGACAACCCUGAGAGCUGGGUGUUAGCAUGGGAAGCUGGCCAGCUGCAGAUCCCUGAGACCUGUCCCUGCUUCUCCCUCCACUGGUUCUACCUGGGAACGCGUCUCCUGCGCAUCCUCCUCCAUCUGCCCCUCUGGCCUCACCUUGAUCAAAGUCACCACUUCUUACCUGGCCCAAUGCAACAGCCACCCACUCUCUUUUCUGAGAGCAUUUGGGAGCACAGGUGAAGAUAACUGAGGCUCACAGAAGUUAAGAAACUGGUCCGAGUUUACACAGCUGGGAAGUGGUGGUGCCAAGAUUCGAACCCAUGAAGACGGGCUUCAAAAAGCCACCUUCUCAGUACAAAGGGGACAUCAGUAUCAAUCCACACCCACCCCUUACAGACAAAGGGACAAGAGACAUCGGAGAGACAGGAUGAUGGGACCAGGCAUUCACCACCCAGGGAAGCAGAGUGAUUUACAGUUUGUUGUCAUUUUCAUCAGUACAAUUAAUCCCAGUGGUUGGUUGGGUAAGGAUUAGUGAUGGUAAACGGAGACUGAGUCAUUCUCCUAAGUUGUCCCCACAAGGGACUCCCAGCCUGUCCCUCCAAACAGACCUUUCAGGCGGAAGCAACUGCCAUUGAGUGAGCACCUUCCUGGCCCACACCCUACCCUAGCACCGGAAGCAGGUUUCAUCUCUGAUCCUUAUAACAACUAGUUGAGGUACGUGCUAUCAUAGCUCCAUUGCAGAUGAGGAAACUGAGCCUCAGGAAGACCACUUGCUCAGGGUCAAUAGGUUAGUAAGAGGUCUAUGCUUGUAACUGCUGCAGCCCCAACUGGGCACUUUCUAGAUAUUCAGUAAUUGCCAAAUAAAUUUUCGACCCCACCCCACCAACUCUUUGUCAUCUCUCUGCCCCUUACAGGCCCUGGCAACAGGCCCUUCACCAUUAACAAGCCCCCAGAGAUAUGAAUUGUCCACAUGCUAUAAAAUACCUGCUCAAUUUCACACCUAUUUAUGGAGCCCCAAGCUUAUGUAAGGCCUGGAAUUAAGGACAACAGAAGGCCCUCUCCCAAAAGAUGAGUAAAUCCCAACUAUUCAAAAGCUUGUAAGCUAGUAGGUAGGUUAAGGAAAAACACCCCAAUGGGUAUAAUUACAAAGAUUUGGCUUGGCGCGGUGACUCAUGCCUGUAAUCCCAGCACUUUGGGAGGCCGAGGCGGGCA
rnacentral:lncRNA from 1 species